rnacentral:rRNA from 1 species
GACGAACGCUGGCGGCGUGCUUAACACAUGCAAGUCGAACGGUGAAGCGCCUUCCUUUUUGGUGGGUGUGGAUGAGUGGCGAACGGGUGAGUAACACGUGAGUAGCCUGCCCCCUUCUUCUGGAUAACCGCAUGAAAGUGUGGCUAAUACGGGAUAUUCUGGGUCUGUCGCAUGAUGGGUCUGGGGAAGAUUUUGUUUCGGUGGGGGAUGGGCUCGCGGCCUAUCAGCUUGUUGGUGGGGUGAUGGACUAGCAAGGGGGUGACGGGUAGCUGGCAUGGGAAGGUGGCCUGUCACACUGGGACUGAGACACGGCCCAGACUCCUACGGGAGGCAGCACUGGGGAAUAUUGCACAUUGGGCGCAAGCCUGAUGCAGCGACGCCGCGUGAGGGAUGGAGGCCUGCGGGUUGUGAACCUCUUUCGCCAGUGAAGCAGGCCUGCCUCGUUUGUGGGUGGGUUGACGGUAGCUUGAUAAGAAGCGCCGGCUAACUACGUG